UUCAGUUGGUUUUGUUUACUUGGAUAUAUAUAAACAUGGUUUUGUGAAGUUAAUUAAAACACGUGGUUUCAUGAAAAAUAAAGGAUAUAUGAUUUUGUAAAUUGGAAAUGAUUUUCUACCCCUCGUGGUAGCGUGCUUUAAAAAGAAAAGGCUUUCGUGUAGGAAAUGGUUUUAAAAAGGUUUUAUUGGCUUUUCAACUCUUGGUGUUUCAAAAUGAGCUUCCGGGUGGGAAACGUUUUAAACUAAUAGUCGUGGAUUUAUGAAUUGAACUAUGAAUGGUAAAUCUGUGAUGAAUGGUGAAUGAAUAUUGAUUGUUGUUUAUUCAUUAUGGUGGUUGUAUCCUGGUUAUAUUCUUGUACUUGUGCGACGCCGUGCAAAUACUGGGGAGACUCUGUCCAUGUGAACAGUGGAUUUUCUGUAUUUGUAGCGGAUCUGGCAUACCCUGGGGUCAGGUUUUAAAAAAAAAAAAAUUUCUGCU
rnacentral:lncRNA from 1 species